AUUCUGAUAUGGCAGAUUAGUGCUGUAGAUUUAAGAUCUACCCAUAAAGGUUUAAACCCUUUUUUCAGAAAAUA
rnacentral:tRNA from 1 species